rnacentral:rRNA from 1 species
UACAGAGGGUGCAAGCGUUGUUCGGAAUUAUUGGGCGUAAAGCGCGUGUAGGCGGCUUUGCAAGUCGGGUGUGAAAUCCCUCGGCUCAACCGAGGAAGUGCGCCCGAAACUGCAGAGCUUGAGUACCGGAGAGGAUGGCGGAAUUCCCGAAGUAGAGGUGAAAUGCGUAGAUAUCUGGAGGAACACCGGUGGCGAAGGCGGCGUCCUGGACCAACACUGACACUGAGGAGCGAAAGCCAGGGGAGCAAACGGG